GAUGAACGCUGGCGGCGUGCCUAAUACAUGCAAGUCGAGCGAACUGAUUAGAAGCUUGCUUCUAUGACGUUAGCGGCGGACGGGUGAGUAACACGUGGGCAACCUGCCUGUAAGACUGGGAUAACUUCGGGAAACCGAAGCUAAUACCGGAUAGGAUCUUCUCCUUCAUGGGAGAUGAUUGAAAGAUGGUUUCGGCUAUCACUUACAGAUGGGCCCGCGGUGCAUUAGCUAGUUGGUGAGGUUACGGCCCACCAAGGCCAGGAUGCAUAGCCGACCUGAGAGGGUGAUCGGCCACACUGGGAAUGAGACACGGCCCAGACUCCUACGGGAGGCAGCAGUAGGGAAUCUUCCGCAAUGGACGAAAGUCUGACGGAGCAACGCCGCGUGAGUGAUGAAGGCUUUCGGGUCGUAAAACUCUGUUGUUAGGGAAGAACAAGUACAAGAGUAACUGCUUGUACCUUGACGGUACCUAACCAGAAAGCCACGGCUAACUACGUGCCAGCAGCCGCGGUAAGAC
rnacentral:rRNA from 1 species